UAUUGUAUUCAUUUUGUUUUUCAUUUUUCUUUUAUUCUUCCUAUUAUUUUUGUUUCUUCUGUCCCCAAUCUACAU
rnacentral:ribozyme from 1 species